rnacentral:rRNA from 1 species
GUAGCCUACGGGGCGCAGCAGUGGGGGAUAUUGCACAAUGGGGGAAACCCUGAUGCAGCGACGCCGCGUGAGUGAAGAAGUAUUUCGGUAUGUAAAGCUCUAUCAGCAGGGACGAAAAUGACGAUACCUGAGUAAGAAGCCCCGGCUAACUACGUGCCAGCAGCCGCGGUAAUACGGAGGGUGCGAGCGUUAAUCGGAAUUACUGGGCGUAAAGCGCUCGUAGGCGGUAUGUCAAGUCAAGGGUGAAAUCCCCGCGCUCAACGUGGGAACUGCCUUUGAAACUGGCAAACUGGAGUGUGUGAGAG